rnacentral:tRNA from 1 species
GGCUCCAUCGUCUAACGGUUAGGACGCUAGCCUCUCACGCUGGAAAUCGGGGUUCGAUUCCCCGUGGAGUCACCA